UCUUCCCUCUGGCGGCGUGCCUAAUACAUGCAAGUCGAGCGAACGGACGAGAAGCUUGCUUCUCUGAUGUUAGCGGCGGACGGGUGAGUAACACGUGGAUAACCUACCUAUAAGACUGGGAUAACUUCGGGAAACCGGAGCUAAUACCGGAUAAUAUUUUGAACCGCAUGGUUCAAAAGUGAAAGACGGUCUUGCUGUCACUUAUGGAUGGAUCCGCGCUGCAUUAGCUAGUUGGUAAGGUAACGGCUUACCAAGGCAACGAUGCAUAGCCGACCUGAGAGGGUGAUCGGCCACACUGGAACUGAGACACGGUCCAGACUCCUACGGGAGGCAGCAGUAGGGAAUCUUCCGCAAUGGGCGAAAUCCUGACGGAGCAACGCCGCGUGAGUGAUGAAGGUCUUCGGAUCGUAAAACUCUGUUAUUAGGGAAGAACAUAUGUGUAAGUAACUGUGCACAUCUUGACGGUACCUAAUCAGAAAGCCACGGCUAACUACGUG
rnacentral:rRNA from 1 species